rnacentral:misc_RNA from 1 species
CCGUACGACUGAGUCAAUAGUAUCAUUUUUGAUCACAUAGACGUCCGACAAUCCGUUGCCGUUUCAAUCAACCAGCCAACUUAUCAAGUAAGCUGGUUGUUGCCCCUAUGAAAAGGCAUACUUGUCACUUUUGUGACCACCAAAAGCACCUCACCUAUAUACUAGUAUUAGUAGUAUAGUAGAUUCGGUGUUGACGUCUUUCUUUUGUCAUCACUAAGCAAGGAACCGCUCGUCAUAUUGUCCAUGAUAGAAUCACCAACAACACAACAGCAAUUGCUUGCCGAAUGCUUCACAGUCCAGAAAAACCGUGAAGACAGUUCACCGUAAUUCGACCCUCAGCCAGACGUGCCAUCGGGAAUGAACCCGAUAGCGCAAUGUGCGUUCGAAUUCUUAGUGCUCAAUGUGUCUGCAAUUCGCACUAUUUAUCGCAGCUGGCUGCGUUCUUCAUCGAUCCACGAACCGAGUGAUCCACCGCCAAGAUUUGUACAUUUUCAACACAUACAAUGAAAUAACAAUGUCAAAUAGACCGGUUGUGUUUUGGGUUUUGGCGGCCACCUAGCGUGGCUCAUUAAGUCUGCUCGACUCUGCCUUAAGCUGCUGCUCAUCAAUGAUGAUUAGCAGCCAAAACAAAGGAACUUUCUCCGCAUCUUUCAUCGCAACUGACGGUCCAGGCAGAAGCUAGAUACGGCGUAGACGCCAAAUUGGUCACCGUUGUUCAACAAGCACACGGCCACUCGUAAGCCAUUGUCUGCCUAAAAAAAGCACAGCAGACGGCUGCCACCACGUGUGUACGAGUUUCCAUGUGGCUCACAACAACAUGCAAAUGGAAGGUAUGCACGUUGGGAGACUUUUUUCGUUCGUGUUGGAUUCGCUCGAUAAUGAUCCUUCCGCAGGUUCACCUACGGGAACAC